rnacentral:rRNA from 1 species
GAACGAGAAAGUGGAGCAAUCCAUGAGUACAGUGGCGCACGGGUGAGUAACACGUGACUAACCUGCCUUCGAGUGGGGGAUAACCCCGGGAAACCGGGGCUAAUACCGCAUAACAUCUUCGGGCUGCAAUGCCUGUUGAACAAAGGGGUAACUCGCUGGAAGAGGGGGUCGCGGCUGAUUAGCUAGUUGGCGGGGUAAUGGCCCACCAAGGCGAUGAUCAGUAGCCGGCCUGAGAGGGCGCACGGCCACACUGGAACUGAAACACGGUCCAGACUCCUACGGGAGGCAGCAGUGGGGAAUUUUGCACAAUGGGGGAAACCCUGAUGCAGCAACGCCGCGUGGAGGAUGAAGCCCCUUGGGGGCGUAAACUCCUUUCGAUCGGGACGAUGAUGACGGUACCGGAUGAAGAAGCACCGGCUAACUCUGUG